ensembl:lncRNA
GGGGUUUUCCUGUGAUACAGGCGGGGGGCGAAUCCCCCGCUGGUCUUUCCCCUGCGGAGCCUCGCGGCGGCCCGGCCAGAAGGGCGUGGGGGAAACUCCGGGAGGCACAGGGCUCGCGGGGGAGACCCAAGCCCUUCGAGGUAAGACUUCGAGGAAAUGCGCCCGCAGCAGCCACUGAUGCGGGAUCGGACCCCGCAUGCACCUCUCCUGGGGUGGUUCUGAUGCGUGUUUCGGAGACCAGCCGGCUGCAGCGGGGAGCUAGCAGGCGGGCUCCCCGGGUGACUUCGCGCUCUGGGGCUAGCUGUGGACCUCCUUCUCCCUGGGUUCUCCUUCAAAUUGUGACACCACAACGCUAGGGUAGUUCCUGCUCCUCCCAGGCUCCCUACCCCCAAGCAACUGCACAGCCCCCUCUCCCUUUGAGUCCGCUCCCCACCCCCCACCCCCCAGGCCCGCCCGGCGAUCCAGCUGUGUGUCCUUUCAAUGUGUGCGGUCUCUGGGUUUACCGACAAAUCCCACCAGCUCUGCCAGAGAUACAGCUCUACUCCUCACCAACACCCUGAGACAGCCUGACACCCCAACCCCCAUCCACACAGACCGAGCUGCCAGAUCCUCUCUUUCUGGCCUGGGGGCUGCCAAGAUGGCCCAGGGCUUGCUCAGAUACUGCGGGGGCCAGCAUGCCAGAUUAAUUUAGCAGUGUGGAUGGGUCAUGGGGGGGAAGGGGUUGGCCAGGGAAGGUUGGAGUGUGGGUUUAAAGCUGAAGUGGAUCCUCAGCAGAUUCUGACAGGAGGGAAGAGAAAAGUCCCCCUAGCCCUGCCAUCUCUCUGAGGAAUAACGUGAAGUUUUUCUUCAUUCUCAGCCCACUUGUGAUCACCUCCCCCAUCCCAUUCAGAACAGAAAUGUGGGGAGCAAAAUGGGGGGAUGGUGGUGUUGCAGCCUGGCAGGAGAUUUUCUGCUCUAGCCACAGGUCCACAGGACCUCCCAAGGGGAGAGGGAAUGACUAGGGUGAUGACAUCAGCGAUUGCUGGCAUUUCUACUUUCCAGCAGCUCUGAGCUGACAGUUCUUUGCACAGAUGCUGGGAGGCCUAAUCCCUGAGUGUCCUUGGGUCUCCUUGAGAAGGAGUGUUCUUAACCAACUGUGAGCCCUGCCUGCCCUGGUGCGCCAGCCACGGGGGAAGACCUCAGUUUAAAGCGCUUCUUUGGGCUUCUGUGUCCAUCCAGGAGCCAGGCUGCCCUACCAAACCUUCAGGAAUUCAGCCCUUACCGGCUUUCUAGUGACCCAUGGUAGGGGCAUCUCCUCCUCUAAGAAGCCCUUCCUGACCACCCACAUUUUGGCCAUGUCUCCCCUUUUGGGUCCCAUGGCCCAGGAGCUCCCAUCAACCUGUGUCUCCUUCAGGACUGAGCUCCCCAAGGGGAGGACACAUCUAACUCAUCUCAGGGACCCCUGCACCAACUCAGUGGGGGGACAGAGAGCAGAUCCAUACGUGUCAACUCCACCCGUGACUGAGGGACCCUGGAAGUUAGCUAAUGCCAUUGAAGGGGCUCCUUGAAGUAGACAGAGGAUAGGACCCAGCUUCUGCUUCCUGGGACACUAUGGCCACAGGCUGGCCAGGGGGCCAGGUCCCUUAAUUCCUCCCCCUCUAACAGCUCCCCUCCUCUCAAUUUAAUUACCACCACCCAUUCAGGACAAGCUAGGACCACCCCCUGGGUGAAGAAAUGACCGUUUGAUAAAGCAGGCACCUGGAAACCCUUCAUGAGGCCUGGCUUUCCUCUCUCCUCUCCGCGUACAGUGGAUAGCUGUGGCAUGCCAGCAGUCUGGGGAAAAGAGGAUAGGGGACUCAGAUCUUGCCCUCGAUGGGCUCCAAGUUGUGGGAAAUCUAGACUCACGUUCAAGAAAGAGGAGACAGAGUUCCGUGUGGUACCAGGGAUUAAGGAUCUGGCAUUGCCACAGCUGCAGUGUAUGUUGCAUCUGAGGCUUGGAUUCAAUCCCUGGCUGGGGGAAUUUCCAUAUGCACAGGUGCGGCAGGGAAGGAGAGGAGAAAAAUCAAGACAGAAAAGAAGUGUGUAUUAAAUCAUGCCUCAACCAAUGAGAUUUCAGGAGAGGGACCUUGCUGAGGCUUGUGGGUAGCUAGGGAGGACUUCCUGGAGAGGAGGGGGCAGUCAGCUUUGGUGAGGGAUGUGGAUCCAGCACUUUACAGCUCAAGCUUCAUUUGUUAAACCACAUGAAAUUUUUGUGUGCCAAAUAUGGUCAGAUUUUCAUAGUUCCAUGUGGCUCGACCUAGCAGUCUUACUCCCAUUUGCAAGUCAAAGAACUAAAGCACAGAGAAGUUAAGUGACCUGUUAAAUGUCCCACAGCAAAAAAUGGUGGAGCUGGAACUCCAGCCAAGGGCUCCAUGGGUCAGGCUCUUCUCUGCUGCCCAGGUGACUCACACAGAUGUGGUAGGGACAAGCCCAGAUACAGGAGAGAGAGGCAGUUCUGGCUCUGGCAUGGCUAAAGCAGGUGAAGACAGCCCCCCCCACCUUGCCCCCCCAUUCUGUAUUCUCGCCAUUGCUCCACCCAUGUCUCACACCCUCUCCUUUCCAGCACCACCUGAAAAGGCUUGGGGUCUGCUCUGGUUGGUCUGAUAGCACAAACACAGGAUCUGGGAACCCCAGCAAGGGGAAGGCGCUUCCCUGGACUGAGCUGGGGAAAAGACCUGUGGCGUUCAGCUGCAUCGGGGAACUGAGCACCUCUGAGAGACAGAUGUGCCUCCUGACAGGCUUCAGGGGAGCUGGGUAUUCCUGGAAUGCCACACCAGGAAAGAUCAGGGUCUAAGAGAGAAGGGACUGGAGAAGAUGGGCUUCCUUCCCUGGGAGGGACGCUGAAUGUCUGGGAGUGGGAUAGGGAUAUAGCUGAUUAUCAUAUAUCAACCUGAUCUUAUUUGGUGGUGGCCUGGAUGGGCAGAGGGAGAUGGGACAUUCUGGAAGUUUAUUUGCUCAUGGUCUGAGGGUAUUGUUCUUGCUGAAAGAGGCAGCUCUGGGGCAGGACAGUGGCUCCACACUAUGUAAUACCAAGGUUUCAGCCAGUUCUGCUUGAAAUUUAACCAAAAAGAGAACAAUGUAGGAUAUGUUAGGGUAAGGUUGCCAACUGUCCUUUCGUAGAAGGCUGUCUCUAUUCUGACAUUAUAUCCUUGUUGUAUUUUCUGUGUUAAAAUGCCCUUUUAUGAAAUCAUGGUACUAAAAAAAAAAAAAAAAAAAAA